AGGAAAUUGCAACUGUUGGCCCAAAGGUUUGAAUAAUUAAAUUCAAACCUAUAGUUUUUUUUAAUAUAAUUUUGGGACUCACAAUCCCAUUUUUAUAUUAUUUUUCUCUCUUCCUCUCACGUUGCUCGGCGUUUUCUCACAAGGGGGGAUUAUUUUCUUUUUCUUCAGAUUAUAUUGACAAAGAUAGUGGUGAAAAAGGAGUUGUGAAGGGGAACUUGUUAUUCAAGACACAAGGAGCGAGUCCGGCCGAGAAAGCACCAGAGGUGUAAUUAUGGUGUAUGAGACACCAUCGUUUACGUUGCCUUUUAUUUUGGAUUAUACAAUGUAUCUUGUGCCAACUUAGGACAUAUCUUCUUUGU